UUAGUUUAUAGAUGUCCUCCG
rnacentral:piRNA from 1 species